GCAACUCCGGCACGGCGGCUCCGCCGUGCUCCGGCGACGGCGCCGCCGCUGGCGGCGGCGAUUCGCCUCGAGUUGGCUGUUUUCGGCCGUUUUCGGUCGAAUUCGGCCACACUCGCAUCGGUCCCUGCGAGAAAACAACCCUAGGAUCCUCGGGGGGCCAAAAAAUCACGGAAAAACGGAGCUUACCGGCGGCGGCGCUCUCGGGUGCGGCGGCUCU
rnacentral:lncRNA from 1 species